GAGACACCCUUAUGAGGAAAGAAUUGCUUCAGUGGGGCUUUGGUGCUCACUGAGUCUUCCCCCAAGUGUGUCCCU
rnacentral:pre_miRNA from 1 species